UUUAUAUCUAAACAAAGCAAGAUCUGAGCCCUCGAAAAUCGUUGUCAGGCGUUCUGGGUUUCUGGGUUUGCCCAUAUUCCCAGAAUUCAUGCUUGGUCAACGUACUUUGACCGAUCAUAUCUUGCAAUAUAAACAUGAUAUGAGAUUUCUGCAAGUCCCAAAUUAAAGCCCUUACUACAAAGACCAACUCUAUAACAUCAAACACCACUAACACCUAACAUA
rnacentral:lncRNA from 1 species